AUGGUGGAAGGCUCGGAGACCGACAUCAUGAAUUUGAAGUUCCUCCUGUUGUGCUUCCAUCAGAUGUCUAGUCUCAGGAUCAACUUUGAUAAGAGUGCAGUAAUGGUAUUGGGGUACCCCCAAGAUGAGCGGCAGAGCAUCACGGAUCAGCUCAAUUGCCAGCUUGGGUGUUUCCCCACGACUUAUCUGGGGAUCCCCAUUAGUGACUCGAGACUCGUGGUGGCUGAGCUUUGCCCCACGGUUGGGAAGCUUCAACACCGCAUUGAGCCUUGGCAAGGCCGAUGGAUCUCGAAGGUGGACCGGACAGUGCUUAUUAACUUGUCCCUUGCCAGCCUACUCUUGUUCAUCAUGAGCUUCUAUCGCCUUCCAGAGACUCUGCAUCACGAGAUUGCCACUGUUCAGGGAUGCUUCUUCUGGGCCGGCAAGGGCGACAAGCAGAAAUACCACAUGGUGCGUUGGUCGGAGAUCUGUAAACCGCGCGACCAGGGUGGUCUCGGGAUCAUGUCCUCCAAACGCAUGAACAUUGCCCUCGUAACAUGUUGGUUGUGGCGGAUUGCCAAUGGAGAGGGUGGCCUGUGGCUUCGCAUCAUUCAGCAACAAAUACCUCCGUGGCCAACCCCUCGCCUUCUGCCAGCGGUCUGGAGGUUCCCAAUUCUGGCAAUCCAUCAUUCAGCUGCUGCCGAUCCUCCGCAUUGGCACCUCGAUCGCGGUUGGCUCGGGCACCUCCACAAUGUCCUGGUUCGAUAG
rnacentral:rRNA from 1 species